UCCAUGAUUGAGUCUUUGAAUGAAGAGAUUAAGAUAAAACGUUGAGGGGCUAGGGGUUGAUUUUGGGAUUCAGGGUAUAAGUACAACGCACAUGCUGGAAUAAAUGUGUCGGUGUAUCAAAACAUUUUUUUUCAUAUGCUGAUUGAUUCGUCUCGGAUGGAUGAUACAAUUAUUUGAUUUCAGCUGCCCCAUGUUCUUAAGUACUUACGGUAACUAACUUUUUCUGAUUGUGUCACAUUCGUUCUUAUUUUACAAACUAUUUGGUUUGUUGUGCCCUGCCAGCGACCCUCGACAUGACGAAGUUACAGUUUCUAAAUGUAUAUUUGACCGAACGGUUGAUGUUAGCUGCCCAAUAGAUAUGAGACAUAAAUAAUACAGGGAAAGAGCGAAUGAUCAACUGAGAUGCAAGCUGCACGGAAAUGGGAUUCCAUGGCCAGGAGCUGUCGAUAGAAAAUAUAUUCGGAUCUGAGCUCCGGAAAACUCGGCCAGCGAGUACUACAACUACAAGGGAUGUUUCUCAAUUAUUCUGAUUGCAGUCUGCGAUGCAAAGUACCGCUUCACCAUGAUCAACGUGGGCGCAUAUGGUCGGGAGGGAGAAGCAAGUUCAGAGUGCUUGCCGGAGACACAAACACCGAGGCCAUAUGUCUUCGUGGGAGACGAGGCAUUCCCUCUGGGGGUAAACCUGAUGCAACCAUAUCCAGGUUCUUCUCGCCUUGGUGUGCACAACAACCACAAGGAUUACUUCCUCACACCAGCUGGUCGAGUGUCUUUCCAGGAUGCUGCUCUCACGUGCUAGUCUUGCUAACACCAACCUCUCUAUGUCCUUGACUUGAGAGUCUGGAACGGCUUUUGAUGUGUCUCACGAAGCGAAGAUAAUGAAGGGGCUGUGUCCUCAGACUUCAAGGCGGCAUCCUACGCUGGUUGUAUAUCCCUUUUUCAAAUGAAAUAAAUCAUGAUCUAUUGUUUUACAUAUGUCCGCCCCAGCUCUUGCGGAAUUAGCAAACACACACAGAGGCUAGCUAGUCCAAACCUUUGGAGUUCGGACAUCGUUUGCCGCUAACGUCAUGAAUAAAUCAUCACACAUAUUUUCAAAACGUAACAACCCUUCUACAAAAAAACGAGUGGCAUAUUCGACAACUACAACCUGUUAAACGUUACAAUCUUGUGGCAAGCAAGUAGCAACUAAAGUUAACUAGCAUUGCUAACGUUAGCUAGAAUUGUUCAACCCAUAGAAAGCCAGCCAGCUAAUAACUUUAACUUGCUUGCUAUCAACUCGAAAUCAGCUAGCAUAUCAAAUCAAUGUAUUAGUUAUAAAUGAACUAGUUAGCUAAUUAUAGGCUGAACAUUUCCUUACCCACUGAAAUUGACAUAGUAGGGCAAUGAUGUGAAUCACCCAUACAUUCUAGCAAGCUAGCUACUACUGUACUACCCAAAUUCACUUCUGGCAAGUUUCCUCCCUGCCCCCUAAUUUUGGUAAUGUAUGAACAUGAAAUACCCUAAACAUUAAUAGAUCAUAGUCUGCUCCAAAAGGAUCAGACUACAGCAAGUAUGACCAACAAAACCAAAAGAGAUCUGAAUCAUUUUUCAUCAGGUCAACCUAAAAUGUCUAUCUAAUGCAACAUUUUACAAAUUUAAAGAUCGAGAAAACAAGAGAGCAUGUACAAAAUGUACUUUAUUUUACAGGAUUAUAUAAUGCGUGAAGCAAACAUGGAAUUACUGUGAAGGUGAAGACUCUGAAGAUGUCGAGUGAAAGUGUCUUUCAUCGCUCUAAGUACCCUGUGGAUGAAAGUGAUUGUCUGGCUCCUCGCCAUUAAACCUAGUUAAGGAGGAAACUGACGCCUUUGCAGCCUGAAUGGAGAAUGUUUUAGACCGAGAGUCCUCUGCUCUAAUAGAACUUGAGGAGGGAGCCAUUGGGUUGAAGCAGGAACCAGAACCCAGGCAAACUAUGGAGAAACAGGAGGGAAGGACCAGGAAGGAGAAAAAGUAACUUAGAGGACUAGACUCUGUCUAGAUGUCUCUCCUUCCAAUGGAAGCGAUGGCUAUGAUCAGAAAUCACCUCACUCAGUCAGUUCCAAACUCACACCGAGGUUAGUAGAGGGGGAGGCUCUCUAUCCAGCUCAACAUCCAAUCAAAACAGAGACUGAAGGACUGGGUGUUUAUCUGUUGGAUCUGUCAAGUGACCCCAAAUGCAUUCUCUUCAGUGAACCUUGACCUCUGGGCAGCACAGAUUGAGAAUAGUGUAAGUAUGAAGGCGGUAGAAGGUGGUGAAGGACUACUGUCAGGGUUUGAGGCGCUACACAUACCGCUACAUUCGGAACAUUCAAAUUCCCAUCAAAUACACAACCACAACACAGCGUUGUGUUGCAAGGUGUGUGGGAAACCCUGUAGACAUAUGGGCCAUUUAAACGCACAUGUGCGAAUGCACAUGAAAGAGAAGGCAUUUCUCUGCGGGGUUUGUGGUAAGUGUUUUAGCUCGUCGGGGAGGUUGAAAGGUCACCAGAGGAUUCACAUAGGGGAGAAGCCCUAUUAGUGCCAUAUCUGUAGGAAACGGUUCAAUCAGACCGCACACCUGAAAGUGCAUCCGAGUGUCCACACAGGAGAGAAACUAUUCAGUUGUCCUGUGUGUGGCAAGUGCAUCAGCCGCUCCGACAAAAUCAAACGUCAUCUCCAGACCCACAGCCGUGAAGGCACCUAGGCUUGUGAUUUUCUUUUUCUCUUUCUCUCAAAGAGCUAGGGAUUCUACGACUUUCUUAGAGAAUGUUUUCUGAGUAACGCUUCUCCAUGCCAUAGUCUCUCUGUCUCUCAUGCAAUAGGUUUUGUAUUGCAUUAUAGUCAAUUUAGUGUGUCCAUUUUCUUUUUGUACAUUUCACUGAAUGGAGUUUUUGUGGAAAAAAACACAACAUUUUAUGAGUUAGUUGCUAGUCUUUCUGAAUUAUACUGAACAAAAAUAUGGUGUGGCAUAUCAAGAAGCUUAUUAAAGAGCAUGAUCAUUACACAGGUGCACCUUGUGCUGGGGACAAUAAAAGGCCACUGUAAAAUUGGCAGUUUUGUCACACAACACAGUGCUACAGAUGUCACAUGUUUUGAGGGAAUGUCCACCAGAGCUGUUGCCAGAAAAUGUUAUGUUAAUUUCUCUACCAUAAGCUGCCUCCAACGUCGUUUUAGAGAAUUUGGCAUAACAUCCAACUGGCUGUUUAAUCAGCUUAUUGAUAUGCCACACCUGUCAGCUGGAUGGAUUUUCUUGGCAAAGGAGAAAUACACACUAAUGCUUUGCAAAUUUGUGCUAAAAAUUUGAGAGAAGUUAACUUUUUGUGCGUAUGGAAACAUGGGACCAACACUUUACAUGUUGCGUUUAUAUUUUUGUUCAUUAUAACUGUAUUGCUUGUUCACGAGGGUUGGUCCUGAGCUAGGCGCUGCUGCACAUACAGGUAACUGCUAAAAUAAUUAAAGAUGGUGCCGAGAGCCAUGGCAGCUCUGCUUCUAGCUCCUAAGCAACUUUGGGAUAUUACAGCACUGUUGGAGCUAGGAAUACAACCAUUUCGCUACACCCGCAAUAACAUGUGUAUGUGACCAAUACAAUUUUAUUCAAUUUAAUGGAAAUACUUUAGUAAAUGAGCGAUACAAAGUAUAUUGAAAGCAGGUGCUUCCACACAGGUGUGGUUCCUGAGUUAAUUACCCAAUUAACAUCCAAUCAUGCUUAGGGUCAUGUGAAAA